rnacentral:lncRNA from 1 species
UACAACAUCAAGUUGUUUUGUGGUGAAAAGCUUGUAAUCAGAACCUCAUCUGAUGAGCUUGUGGUGAAGAAGAUAGAACCCAAACAUAAAUCACAAUUCAAUCUUUUCUAUUCAAUUUGGUCACUUAAACAAUCUUUUUCUUCUUCUUCUUCUUGGCAGUUGGAGUAGUUUCUUCUUGACAGAUGAGAAGCUUCUGUCUGAAGCACACAACCUGUUCUUCAAGCCGAGCAACCUCCUCCUCCAAUAAAGCUACCUCUGCUAGAAGCUCCGAUGUCUGGAAGAAGAAGGAAAAAAAAUGGCAAGCCAAAACAAACAUAUAUUAUACUGUAUGGGCAGAACUCAGAAGGUGGAUGGUGUACAUAUAGACGGAGAUAUGGAGGUAAACGGGGAAGACAACCCAAUGGUCUUGUAAAUGCUCUUUCCAAUGCUCUGUGUAUGUUUUUUUCUUUCAGGAGUUUCCUCUUCAGAUGAUCAACCUUGCAUGUCAGUCAGGAUUAAUUCAGGAAAGAAGAAGAAGAAGAACUGAAUUGGGUAAUAAUUAUUUCU